ensembl:lncRNA
UGUCCUCAGAGAAGGAUGGGUCUUAAAUUGUUUUGGACAUCAUUGUGACAAAUUUGGAUGUAUGUGUUUGGGGAAGGGGCUUCCCAAGUGGCUCAGUGAUAAAGAACCAGCCUGACAAUGCAGGAAAUGCAAUAGUUGCAAGUUCAAUCCCUGGGUCAGGAAGAUUACUUAGAGGAGGAAAUGGCAACCUACUCCAAUAUUCUUGAAUGGAAAAGCCCAUGAACAGAGGAGGCUGGUGGGCUACAGACCAUGGGGUUGAAAGAGUUGAACAGGACUGAGUAACUGAACAUGUAUGUCUGGGGGAAGAUGCUGUGGUGUAUUUUAAUUACACUGUGUUACAGGGUGGAGACCUAAGUUCCCAGGAUAAAUACAAAGGGCAGAAGCAGGAGACUAAAUACUAUGCAAGUUAAAAGUUUAUAGAAGAAAAAGAAAAUCCAUGUCUGAGUAGGGAUGUCAAUCGAGGGGAUAACAGAAUCAUUUAAUAGGAUUUGAAUUAAAAUAUUUCUUUCAUUCUACAAUUUUAAAGGCUCUUAAAAUUACAACAUGCUUCAUGUGUUGCAUUUCUUAUUUAAAUGAAGAAGUGGGUAAAUUUUCUCUGCAGGUUGGUGUAGGGCCUGGAAGGAAUCAUCAAGCAUUCAUGAAUGAACGGAUGAUUAACCUGAGUGAUAAGGCUGUUGGACAGAUGUUGUAGGAAGAAAAAUUUCUUUGUGGGUUCAGCAGCUGGUCACUGAUCAUCAGCAGUAUAUUCUCCACCAGUUGCCACUCAAGUUGUCCUGCAGGCUUGUUUCCUGUUCACUUAUUGACUUUGGUCAAGCUCUGAGCUGGACAUGGCAGUGUAAUUCUCUAGCAUCCAGUGGGCUGCAGCCGUGCCUUCUCCAGUGAGGUUUGAUACUCAGCCUUGGAGAGGAGACCUCUUUUCCAAGUUUCCCAUCCUUGGAUACUCUCAGCAAUGCAGUGCCAUUUAGCAUUCUCCUUCCAUCUUAGAAUUACUCUAUAAUCAUGGUUUAAUAAUUUGUUGUAUGAAACUUACCCUGUUUAAAUCACUGAGUGGUUUCUGUCCCCUGGUUUGACCUAGAUUUAUAUACCUCUCUCUUGAACUUUUAAAUCCUUCAAGGAAAUCAAAAGCUCCCAAGAACAUUUUGAAACUGGUAAUAUAAAAAUAUAUGUCUAUUUAUUUGAAUUAUAAUGUAUGCAUAGAGCAAAUUCAUUCUGAAAGGGGGAUUCAACUAAGGUUUCCUAAUACUAAGUAAACCUUUAUUUCAAUUAGACUGGCAUAGCUGGAGCUUGAACUCUUUUGUUGAAAUCAGUUUUCACAUACCCAAAAUAGCAAUAUUCUAAACAAGGACUCAGCAGACCAAACUUCUUGUAUAUGCAUUCCAUGAGAAUAGAGCAAAUGCUUAAUGCAAUGAGCUUCAUUUUCCAAAUCUGUUAUAGAAAGAAGUUGAGCUUGGUUUUAUGAUGCUUAGAGUUCUUAAUCUUUAUCCUGGAAAAUACUCCUAAUGGUUCCGUUACACUCUAAAUUCUCUCAAAGGUAGUUCACUCCCUUCUUCGUGAAAUAUUUUAAACAUUUUACAGAAAAGAGAUUCAAGUCUAAGACUCCUAUCACCACAGAAGGUGACUCAGUACAGCCUCAGGAAAUGUGAAAGGAGAAUUACCAGAUGAGUGAAAAUCCUGCUGCUGCUUCCAGUGCUGGUGGAAGGAUGGAGUGGAUUUUCAGUUUUUUUUUCUUUUUCCCUGAGAUUUUAAUCUUUGUGCUGAACUUCGCUAGGGGAUUUCCAACGAUGAUGGAGUGACCUCAGCGGGAUAAGGAUCCUAGAAGCUUUUCAGAAUGGGAGAAAAUAAUAGCAAAUGAAGCAACUGACAAACAACUAAUCUCAAAAAUAUACAAGCAACUCCUGCAGCUCAAUUCCAAAAAAAUAAAUGACCCAAUCAAAAAAUGGGCCAAAGAACUAAAUAGACAUU